GGUGAGGGGCUGGGGGUCAGGAAGUAUAUAAAGGUUCCCUGUGAUGCUACUCUCUGUGUCAAGUUAUAAAAGACCCGAGUGAUGUGGGGUCUCUCUCAGGCUUUGCUGGCCUCUCCCCUCAGGCUGGGCAAGGGCUAGGGUUGGGGAACAGAGAGGAAUUCCCAUAGAGGGAGCCCCUGAGCUCAGGUGGUCCCACUGCCUGUGCUGUGGUAGAAGUCCUGGACUAAAGCUGAAAUCCAGCCCAGAUUCUAACUCACUGUGGGGCCUUGGACUUGACUUCUAAGCCUCAGUUUCCUCAACCUGCCAAGUGGCAGGUCAGGGCUGGGUGAUUUCUAACCAACGCUCUAUUUGGACUGAACACUGCCAGGUGCAUGGGAUGUGGGAGACCUCACGCAGGCAUGAUCUCAUCCAAGGCCAAAGCCAGGAUUCCCAGGUCCCCUGCUGCUCUGAUGCUCUUGGGAACGGGGAGCGGGGAGGGAGAAGGGGGGGUACUGUACGAGACGCAUGACUGAAAUGGGCAUCCCUGCCGGCUCAGAAAGAGGCACAUGUAAGCCCGUCUCCCAAUCUCCCACGUCAAGGGUGCUUCACGUGUGAGAACGCCGCCUGGCUUUAAAGGUAUCUUGGGGUGAGACGGGGAGAGGUAAAACCAGCAAAGGCCACAUUUAGGAAACAGAAGAAUGAGCUGUGAGGCCGAAGCGGACAGAACUCAGCCGAGCGCAGAGCUCAGACCGAGUGGGGCGGGAGCGCGUCAGAGAAGAAUGCACACGAGGCAGAUGCUCUUCUGCAAGAGAUGGGAGGGCUCGGGGUGCACCGUGGCCACUUCCCCCAGGCCUGCUGAGAGCUGUCAUCCUGUCACGGAGGCCGGGAGUUCCAGGAAAGAGUAACUUGCUCUUUCCCAAAACACCAUCCUGAACGUAAAACGAUCCUUCUUAAAAUUUCUGCCCAUUUCCCAAACCAAACCAAGGCACAAGCCUUCUCCAGUGACCAAAGAGAGCCAAGACCCCCAUCUUGGGUUGAACAGGGACCAGCUGUGUGACUGAGGAUAAGUGCCUGUACCUCUCUGAGCCUUGUUUAUAAAAUAGGUGUCACAGCCUCAAACGGCCAGAGAGUAGACAGGAAGUGCCCAGGUCUGGAACACAAACCCUCCUUCCUUCCCAUACUUUCACAAUGCCUCUAGAGUGGCCCCCAAGCCCUCGAACCAAAGGUCAAGCCCCCGUCAUUAUAUUCUGAGCCUCAAAAUACCAGAGAUGAGUACAAAAGGAAGUGGCUUAGAAGUUCUCAGAAGAAGGGGGAUGGGGAAAAUAAAUAAGCCAGCAGAGUGGAAGCUUCCGGCUCUGCAGCUCUAAAACCUUUGCACAACUUUUCUCUUCUGCCCUGGAAUCUUCCAGAUGGCUCACUGAACCUAACUCAGCAACCAGACUCCCACAGUGUCCUGACGAUAAGGAGAGAGAACAGUUUGGGGGAGGAGGGCCGAGUUGGGCAGAGUGUGGAGCAGGGCCCAGCAGGUUUGGGGCCAUCACAGAGUAGGUGUGACGCUCUGCAGCUCCCUCCAACUUCUCUGCAAUGAGACAGACUACAAAGGAAGGCAAGUAAAGACCCAAUAACAACUUUUUCAAUGCCAUGGGCAAAAAUGUUUCAGUUUCACACCCCUCUGGUGCUCAGGGAGCUAAUGGUCACUCAUCCACUGAUGGUGGGAGGGGAAACUGGUGGACACUUUCUGGAGUAGAAACGGACAACGUACAUCAAAACGUGACAUACGUGCACUCUGACCCAGCCCCGCACACGUACUGCCAGAAGUUCACCAAGGUACGGAAACAGAGAUGCUCAUGACGACAAAGUGUCCAGCAAAAGAGGGCUGGUUAAAUAAAUUAGGGGAGGACCAGCGAUCGGGUUCCAGAGAGAACCCAGAGCCCAGCUGUGGGACUCGACCCAAUUCCACUCCACUUUCAGUGACACCAUAUUGGUAACUUGAAAUCAACUGCGGUGAGAGUGUUUACACCACAGGAAUUGACAGAUGCCAUGUAUCAAUACUAGAGCUUCCCUCACCACCACCCAAGAGCUGGUUGUUAAAGAUUUACCAGCACACCACUGGAGGUUCUGCCACGUGACGUGACGGGAACGCUAUGCAGGUAUUCAGAUUAGACCUCAGACCUGCCCUCCAGCCAACAAGGCAAAGUAACCAGUAGGCUCUUUGGUAUGUACUUUUACAAACACAUAAAUAGUUACAAACCAAAUAGAUAAAUAGUUUAAAAACA